UGUGAUAUAGGAGUCAUAAGUCGGAAAUGCGUGCAUGCUUGCAUGAGUAGCAUUUCGACUUUAUGACCCGAACAGAAAUGAGGAAAUAGCAAUUUACGAAGUAAAUUAGCGUUUUCCGAAUUUCUGUAGAAUUGCGAGAAUGGCGUAUGCCAUGAAGCAAUUCGUAUAUCACA
rnacentral:sRNA from 2 species